AGCUGCUCCGAGCGGGUGAGAGAAAGUCGAGCGGAACAAACUAACAGUUCGUGGGUGUGUGAGGAGGAAUGGAGCCAGCGGAGUGGGCAAGGAGGUUUCAUAAAGACACAGUGCAGGUCACAGAUCCCAAAUAACAAGGUUAAUGGAAGGAUGUUGUCAGACAGGAAACUCAAUUGAAACAUCAUAUCAGAGUCUGACAGAAUCACUCGAUUCAUCAGGACCUGGAUAUUAUCAGACUUGGAAUAAUGCUCCAAGGUGUUUCACGGGAGUGUUAUAAAGCAACAUUUGACACUGAGCCACAUGAAGAAAUAUCAGGGCAGAUGGACAAAGGUCUACUAAAAGAGG